CUGAACGACUGCAGGAGAUGAUCUGCCAAACACAUGAUAAACUCCUUGAGGUUUUCUGCCGCACUGACCAGAAGUUUAUAUGUGUGCUGUGUACGAUGGAUGAACAUAAAAACCACGACACUGUAUCAGCUGCAGCACAGAGGACAGAGAAACAGAUUCAACUUUUUUCAGCAACUGGACAAGGCAUGACCUGACUAGGCAAACAGGAUCAGGCAGGGCAGGACACAAGGGGAACAUCUGACAAUGAUCUGGCACAGGACUGCAAACACAGGAAGAAUUAAUAGGGAGUAAACAAGGCAGGUUAUGAGAGAAAACAGAACCAGCUGAAGGAGACGCAGAGGUCAUUUCAGCAGAGGAUCCAGCAGAGAGAGAAAGAUCUUCAGCAGCUGAGAGAGGCUGUGGAGUCUCAUAAGCGCUUUGCACAGACAGCAGUGGAGGACACUGAGAGGAUCUUCACUGAGCUCAUCCGCUCCAUUGAGAGAAGCCACUCUGAGGCCACACAGCGGAUCAGAGAUCAGGAAAAGACUGCAGUGAGUCGAGCUGAAGGACGACUGGAGCGACUGGAGCAGGAGAUCAAUGAUCUGAGGAGGAGAGACGCUGAGCUGGAGCAGCUUUCACACACACAGGAUCACAUCCAUUUCCUGCAGGUAACAGAGAUCUAGAAGAACAGGGUCAUAGUGGAUUUGAGCAAGAGACUCACAGAGAAACAUUUCAUGAGAGCAGAAUGCGCCCUUGACUGAAGUGUUGUCAGGAAUUCUGUGUUGUGUUAUAUAAUCAUAAGGUAGAUCCUCAUCUGAUCAUCUUGGUUUAAAAUAGACGACACUUAUAAAUGCAUUUCAACUCUGAAAAUCUCUUAGUAAAAAUGUUCUGAGCUCUUUAUAUAUUUAGCUCUAUAUAUAUUUAGCUGCCAAACUCCACUAAUGCCAUAAACAGUUCAAAACUUCCAGAACACUGAAACUUUUUUUAACCAAAUUUUCCCUUCUGGUUUUUUACAUCAUGGUGAAAUCUUGAUGGUACCAAUUUUGAGUAAUGUUCACCAAAGUUGCUUCAGGUGAUCUUCAAACCUGAACAAAUGGAUUGGGAUUUUCAUAAUUGUUCCCUUGAGGACCACACCCAUGAGUAUCUCCAUCUAGAUUGCAUAGUGCACUACCCAGAUGACUCCCUGUGCACCUUAUAUCACGCCGGCCUCAAAGAGCAGACAGAGGUGUGCCUGCCUGUGGAUGGCCCUCAAGGGACAUUCGGUAAGUAUGUGGAGUCGGUACUCUCUAGCUGUGUUUCCCCCUUCACAGUGGGUGAAGAGGAGGAGGAUCCCAAAUACGGUGGUCCCGGACCUAGCACUCUUUGACCUACAUAUUCUGGAAUGGACUCCUGCCUAUUCUCCCAACCUUGAGCUCUCUUCUUCUCCACCGGUCCCACCAGGCCUACUGGACUUUCUGGUUCCGAAUAGUUCCCUGGCCCUCCUUCCUCUGCUGGUCCCGCUCAGCCUCCUGGCUCCUUUGUCUCCGCUGGUCCCGCCCAGCCUCCAAGCUCCUGCAUUCCAACCAUGGAGGUCAUCCAAAGCCCCGUCGUCCUCGCAAGUUCCAUAUCCCAGAUAGCAAACGGAUGUGGGCUACUUCAGGCAAUGAUGCGGCACUGCAGGCGUUCUUAUGGCCCGGACAAAAUGUAUGUGAGCCUUAAGUGGCCAGCAUGUAACAUGGGAAAUAUGGCUCAAAUAUUUCAAAUCACAUGUGGGCCUUUUUAGGCAAAGAUGCGGCACUUACGGCAAUGUGUAAUCUGAAUGUGAGCCUGAAGUGGCCCAUGUGAUAAAUAAUGAAUAUGGCCCAAAUAUCACAAACCAAAUGUGGGCCAUCUUUGGCAAAAAUGUGGCACAAUCAACAAUGGCUAAUCUGGGUGUAAACCAAAUAUGGCCCACAUAUGCUGCAGCAAAUGUGGCCCAGUUAUUUUAAAACACAACUGGGCCAGUUUUGGCAAAGAUGUGGGAAAGUAAUCAGUGGCGAUUCUGAAUGUGAACCUAAAGUGGCCCACACACAGCGUAACAAAUAUGGCCCGGAUACAUUACUCCAACUUUGGACCACAUUUGGCAAAUGUACGGCACAGUCAGCACUGGCUAACCAGGGUGUGAGCCUAAACUGGCCCACAUAUAAUGCAGCAAAUGUGGCCCAGUUAUCUUAAAACAUAUCUGGGCCAGUUUUGACAAACUUAUGGGACAGUAAUCACUGGCGAUUCUGAAUGUGAAACAAAAAUAGCCCACACACAGCAUAGCAAAUAUGGCCCGGAUACAUUACUCCAACUUUGGACCACAUUUGGCAAAUGUAUGUCAUAGUCAUCACUGGCUAACCAGGGUGUGAGCCUAAACUGGCCCACAAAUAAUGCAGCAAAUAUGGCUCAGAUAUCUUAAAACAUAUCUGGACCAGUUUUGGCAAACAUGAGGGACAGUAACGACUGGCAAAUCUGAAUGUGAACCUAAAGUGGCCCACACACAGCGUAACAAAUAUGGCCCGAAUACAUUACUCCAACUAUGGACCACAUUUGGCAAAUGUACGGCACAGUCAGCACUGUCUAACCAGGGUGUGAGCCUAAACUGAUUAAUGUCAAUUGUAGGUUUAAUGUAGAGGUAUAGAUUAUGCAGUUUGUACAGUAUAAAAAUCAUUAUGUCUAUGGAAAGUCCCCAUAAAACAUGAAAACACAACGUGUGUGUGUGUGUGUGUGCGUGUGUGUACUGUAGAGCAGAAACACAGACGUGCACUAUUACAGCUCUUACAGUCAGUUAUGCUGUACAUGUACUGUAAGUAGAGUGUCUGAUUGAGAAACGUGACAACAUAGUUAAAACAUAGCUACCCCUAAACCUAACCCAACCCAUUAUCCUUAAAGCAGGAAAUGAUAACCAGCACAAAACCCUGGUUGAUGCAUAAACUUGACAUAAACUGUAAACUUGUCACUCAAAUAUGAUUGGUUGAAUGAAAAGCAGGAUUAACAAUGUAAGCAGGCAGUGUCAUUUUAUAAACUGCUUUAAGUGACCCUGAUAUUGUAAUAAGUAAAUGAAUGAAUAAACUAAUAAAUAAAACAUUACAAAACAAACAUUAAUAAAAAUAUUUAAUUUGUCUUACAUUUUGGCUGCAUAUUGACAUUUACAUUUAUAAAUUACUUUUUUAUGAAUAAAAAUAGCCUAUCAUAAUGUUAAUUGAUGAAUUAAAUUAUGAGUGGGUAAAUCAGCACAAAUCAUCACAAACUGCAAUGAGAACAUUGUAUGUUAUUUUGAUAUUAUUAACUUUUCAAACCUUUUUUUAAUCAUGUUAUAGGCUUCAGCUAAGUUUGUUAGAGAUAAGAUAUUAAUCAAAGUUCAAACUGGUUCGAAUUUUCCUACUUCCGGCCCUUUAAAUUUAAAAGUAGGCGCGCGGAAAAGGCGCCCAAAAGACGGAACAGCGGAGAGGAUCGGCUGGAGAAUUGACGGUGGAAAACUGCACAAAGUAAAGUCAAGAAACAUCAGGCUCACAGCAACAGAUUAAGAAGAAGAAUCCUGCAUCAAAAGAUGGCUUCAACUUGCAUGUGAGACAGAGCGAGAAGAGAAAAAGAGGAAUGAAGAUGGACUGUCUAAGAAACCUGUUACCAUAGUUAGCUGGAUCCCUUCCAAAUCUAUAUCAGAUGGUGGACCUGCAUCUUGGCAUGACCAAAACACAAGCCUAAAUGUCAGCGAAGACCAUGUCACCUAGACAAGCCAUAGAGACAGAUCUCCUGUGAGGACUUCGUUGACAGCCAUAGGCACAGAUCCUCAGCAAAGACCACAAGAACCAGACAAGUCCUCUGCACAGACCCCUACGGCCAGCUUCAACUCUAUGCUGGCGUGUUGUGUCUUGAUCUUCAAACUGAUGGAACCAGAUGAAAUAUUCUAAAUUAUACCAAUCCACAAUCUGACUUGUGAUGCAGCCUGAAUCAUAUCACACCAUGUUCGUUCAUUGGCCAGAGGAGAAUCGGUCCCUGACUGAGCCUGGUUUCUGCCAAGGGGUUUUUUCUUCUCCAUUUCUGUGACCUGAUGGAUUUUGGGUUCCUUACCACUGUUGCCUUUGGCUUGCUAAGUUUGGGACACUUAAUAUUCAGCAAUAAUAUUGAUUUGCUUGCAUUGACACUAUCAUAUGAGAACUGAACUGAGCUGGACGAUGACAUCACUGUUUUCUGCAGAGCUGCUUUAUAACGAAUUGAACUGAUUUCAUAAUUGAUUAACUCUACACAGCUAUUGAACAGAACUGAAUUAAAACUAAACUAACUUCAGCUGAACAAUGACACUAUUUUCUUUUUAGAGCUGCUUUACAGCAGAAUUGAACUCUGUUGGAAUAAUUGGACCAUUCUCCUGUUUAUACCUGUAAAGCUGCUUUGAAACAGUCUAUAAAGUCUUAAAUUAAAGGUGACUUGACCUUUGAAA